UUCAGGCCACAAAGUGAACAACAUGUUCAACCUUCUGAACUUUAUCUAGGUCAGGCCUUAAACAGAUCUCAAAGACAUCACUGAAUUUUAUAUUGCUGAAAUCUGGUCUAUAAUUGGUUAAAAUGAUUAAAAAUAUACUUAUAGUUCAAACAACACUCAAUCAAUGCUUAAGUAUGCUGAUUAUGUCAUUAAAUCAUCAAAUCAUCUUCAUAUAUUCACUUGUAACACUCAAUCAUUGGUCUGAUUAUUAACACAUCUAUGGAAAUAUCAUUCCUAUGAAUACUUCUUAUAAGUGGGGUGUACAACAGAGCCCAAAAGUGCAUAUAUGCACAAAAUGAUCAGAAUUAUGCACAAUAGUUGUAGGCUUGUUGCUAGGAACUUUAGCUGCAGCUACUGCUGCUGCGGCAUCUCCAUAUUCUUUUAACACCAUGAUGACGACCUUUCAAGUACGAUAUCAGAUUUGUUGUGUUAAAACUUGACGCCUUUUUUCCUCCUCUCGCAAUCUUUGCAGAACAUGUUUUGCAAAUAGCAAAACUUCCAGACCAGCGAAGACAUGGUCACAGGAUGAGGACGUAAUGAGCGCGACAAAGUUUAAAUCUGCAGUCACUUCCACUCGGAAAGUGGAUGAAUCAGACUGAUUUACUGAUUUACCGGCAAGCGUACUUUAUCGGAUGUUGUUAUCAGAUUUUAUUUAUUUAUCGGAGCAAUAAAAAUGACGUCAUUUUCACCCAUAUCGGCCGAUAAUUUAUUGGUCUGAUAAACAUCGUGCAUCCCUAAUUAUGACUCUUACACGUGAUGUUGUCAGAUUUUUCUUUGUAGUGUCUAGGCUGUGUUGACUAGGCAAAAUCACAUAAAACGUAAUGAAGAGUGGAUGUCCCAUCCUGACCUGACAGACCUGCUCCUUGCCAGAAGAAGUGGGAAGACAUGUUUCAGAUGGAGUAAUUGCCAAUAGGAAAUCUUGUAUGAAGUCAUUUAAAAAAAAUCUUUAAUUGCCUGUAAAUUAACAUAAUAAUUUUAUUGUUACAGAUGAGUACAAUGUUCAAUGCAAGUAUGUGGACAGGCAUCACUAUUUGGUGAACCACAGUGUUGUCUUUGUGGACGUCAUACUCAUACAUACUCAUAAUACUCAUAAGUCAUACAAAUAGGUUUGUUAUUAAAGGGAUAGUUUACCUAAAAACAAAUAUUCUUUCAAGAAUUUCUCACUCUUUAGUUGUUCCAUCCAAACCUGUAUAAAUGUCUUUGUUUGGUUGAACACAGAAAUAUAUUUGGAAGAAUGCUUCUACCCCAUUGACUACAUAGUAGGAAAAAUGACAACGGUAGUGAAAAGUGCUCCAGAACCGGUUGCUGUCCUACAUUCUUCAAAAUAUCUUCUUUUGUGUUCAACAGAACAAAGGAAUUUAUACAGAUUUGGAAUAACUCGAAGGGGAGUAAAUGAUGAUAGAAUUUUUUGGGUGAACUGUUCCUUUAAGGAAAUCAGUAUGAUUUUUUCAAUUUUUCAGUGUUCAUGACACAUAUUUUCCCACUCUAUACUUGGUGUAAAGAGGCUUGUGAGUUAAAGGCUGUAGCAAUUAGGCACCCGGGCCUGUAUGGAUAAAUAUAUGGAUGCAUUUAUGUGACGUUCUUCUCUGUUCCCACGUCUGUUAGUUUACAAAUCGUCGCUGUCGGGCGGAAUCCUCGCAUCUCCAAAACCAUUAUUUUUCAGGAAAUUAAAAAAACUGCAUUUUUUUUAGUUAUUAAACAUUGUAUAAUUAAAGUUGGUAUUAUACCUUAUAUUGCUAUCAUAUACUGUUGUGUACCAACAUUAACACAACAUUUCCCCAAAACCAUGUUUAAUCGGAGAUACAAGGUUUAUAACUUGGGAGCAGGGAGAUACGAGAUUACGCUGUCAUUGGUAAGAAUAGUACGGACACAGACGUCGCUGCUGCCAGCAGUGUUCAUCAAAGUCUGCGGUCGCGUUGAGCCUUUUGACAAGAGACGAGGCUUUAAGAGCUAAUGAAAGCUAAUGAUUGUGGUUACAUACAUCUUCCUAAACUCUAUUUUAAACGUUAGAGCUAUGAGUGAUGCAAUACCAAAAUAAAACGUUAAACAGGCUCCCUAAUAUAGGCAGAAAUUAAUCUGCACGCAAAUAAAGUCGGCGGUCGCGUUGAGUCUCUUGACAAGAGAAAAGGCUUCAAUCGUUAACCAAAGCUAACGACUGUGGUUACAUACAUCUUCCUAAACUCUAUUUUAAAGGUUUAAGAACUAUAAGUGAUGUAAUACAAAAAACGAUGAGCUGACUAGGCUGUCUAAUAGGCGGAAAUUAGCUGAAUCUGCUCGCAAACUUACCUUCGUGGCUCACGGGCUUCCUUCUGCACCGAAGCAUUACAGCUAUCGAUUUUUAACAAAACAGGCCUACUCAAAUGUAUCUAACCUAACUAUUUUCACUCGUUAUUGUCUAAAAAACUUUCAAUCAGGAGACGUAAUGCCGAGAAGCUCCCACGGAGUGAAGAAGAGGUGGAGUUACGAGACUUCUCAGACAGUUUAAGUGUCCAAUGGAGUUAAGAGAUUUGCUCUCAAGCUAUUUUCAACACUUUAGAUUGGUUAAUAAUUUGUAAAAAUAACAGACCCACAUGGGGACUGACCAAUAGCAUCGAUUUGUGAAAAAAUAUUAAAUUGACCAAAUUUGGACAUAGGAGGUUUCCGCCCGACAGCGACGAAAUCCAUGAUUUGGGGGGUCUCGCGGUGCCGCAGCCAGACCUAACAUAAAUAUACCAAGGUUUCAGGUAAUUCGAGAAGAUCUUUGUGUUUUGUUGUCUGAUUACAUUUGUUACAUUCAUACUGUAUGUGAUAUGCAUUUCUACAUUCUUCAAGAGCACCAGCAAUUCCCUUACUGCCUCUAUGGGUGCCAGCCCUUGUUCUUCUGCUUUUCUGCUGUCUCUGAUUUUCCAUCAGAGACAGCCCUUCUCCUUCCACCUCGAGGAGAGCCAGACCUUCUCCUUCUGCCAAUGAUGAUACAGCCUGUGAUGCUCCUACUGUCGUGGCACCUCCCCUUCCUUCUAUGGAUGCCUCUGAGCCAGUGCCAACCGAAAUGACGACAACCCCCUAAGUAGAUUUAACACCAUGGGAGACAGUGGUACAGAAGACAUCCUCAGCCCACCCCACCCAGCUGUUGCCUCUGAUGAAGGGGGAAACCUAGCUCCAACUGCCUCCACUACCCUUAAUAAACUGCUGAAAGAGAAGAGGGACUUGAUGGACCAGAGAGAUCAGCUGAGAACAGAACUGUAUCGGCUGUUUGAUUCAGUUGUUGCCUCAGCGCCUGCUCCAGUGACUGUGCCUGCCCCUACUCAUAUCUCUACAAGAAACCAGAAAAGAAGAGGAGGAGGGUGACAUCCUCUUCAACCUCCACUUCCUCUUCAUCCACCUCCUCCUCAUCUUCCUCCUCAUCUUCACCUGAGAGAGAAUUUAAGAAGAAAAAAUCCAAUCCAAGAUCCUUUGGGAAAAGAAGUGACAAUUGCAUCACAGGGGGAAGAGUUUUCUCGCAGGGACAACUCUGCAGUCGUAUGGCAAAAAAUUGCAGCAGUUUGUGGCCUCCUGUCCCCAGCUUCAAAACAAAAUUGAAGAAAUUAAGAAGCAACAAGCUGUUGCCUAUAAAAAAGUUUAGGAGUUGAUUUAUUAUUGACUAAUUAAUUUAAGUCUGUGUUUUUUUCUCUGUUUUAUUGGUGAUUCUUUUUGUUCUUUGUACAGUUUUUACGGUGCUGUUGUUCUUUGUACAGUUUUUACAGUGUUGUUCUUUGUAGUUUUUACAGUGUUUUUCUUACUUAAAUGUGUUAUUGUUCUAUUUUUAAAAUUAAUUUUGUAAAAUUGUUGUUUUCAUAACACUUUCAGGCUUAAAUUGUGCUUAAUUGCGCAACUAUGCUUUUACAAGUAGUAAUUUAGAAUUUUGUUGAUAACAUUGUGAAACACAGCUAAUACUAAAGCUAAGUUUAUGUUUUUCAGCAUACAUGUUUAAUAUUGUAUUUAACUUGUAACUACAAAGAAACAAGGGGGUAACAAGCACCACAUACCCUGUAACUACACAGAAAAAGGGGUAACAAGCACCACUUACCCUGUAACUACAUGGAACAAGGGGGUAAGAAGCACCACUCCAAUUUACAGUCCGCAGGAGUUACACUUACCCUGUAACUACACAGAACAAGUGGGUAACAAACACCACUUACCCUGUAACAUCCUGAAACAAGACUAUUUGCUCAUUAAUUACAGAGAAAAUUAGUCCUAUUAAAAAAACUGGGUAACACUUUAUUUUACGGUGCCCGUGGUACAGAGUAAUUACUUAAUUAAAUACUAUGUAGUAUCUAGUGUAAUAUCAUGUAACAAAGUGUACUUACUAUAUAACUACAUUAUGCAACAAUCUGUACUUAUAGGUUGUAAUUAUACACAUGUAACAGGCAGCUACUGUUACACAUGUUAUCGGCCAAGCCUGUUACACAGGUACGGAUGGAUAUUGUUACAAACCUCGUACAAUGUAAUUAUAUUACUUAUAGUAGUUUUACACAAUGUAACCACAAGUAUUUAAAUGUAGAAAAACCUGUUUUUUCACAUGAUCACUUACGUUCGGUAGACGACUACAGUUGGUAACGUGCCAAGUCGGUUACUCAGCUGCAGCUGUAACACGGAGAGCCAGAUCAGAUUUCUAUUUGUUUAUUUUUUUACAUUUAUUUAUUUUCACCAUCCACUGCUAUAAAGACAAGAGCAUAAUUAUUGGAAAAAAAAUCAUUGCUGCUCACAUGGAUUCUGCAUGAUCUCAACGGGUACAAUUGGCUUCCCUUCCUCAUAAAUUGUAUUUGUCAAUUAUUUUGUCUGUUCACUUUGUUCCAAGUGGAUAAAACAUUACAUUAAAAAACAGAAUAACCGAGUAAAUGAAUAGUACAUUUAGUGUUAGGUUUCAUGACCUACAUUAUAGUUUAAAAUAUUUGUUUAGAAGUGCAGUACUUUGUCAUUGUGUGUGUGUGGUCCUAGUAUUCCUUACCUUAUGAGGACCAAAGGUAGUGAUACCAGUAAAUUUCACCUUGUGGGGACACUGUUUCAGGUCCCCACGAGGAAAGCAACUUACAAAUCAUUCAAAAUGAUGUUUAUUGAAAAUCUAAAAAUGCAGGAGGUUUUCUGUGAUGGGUAGGUUCAGGGGUAAGGUUACAGGAUAGAAUAUACAGUUUGUACAGUAUAAAAAGCAUUAUGUCUAUGGAAUAGCGUGUGCUUGUGUGCGUUUAUUGGUUUGCCUCUCUUCUCUGUCAACAUAUAGAAGAAACUUCUGCACCAAUUGCUUCUGCAAUAUGUACUUAAGUGUACCUUGGUAUCUACCCACCUUACCCAUCUGUACCUUAGUUUCUAAUAACUUGUUUACAGCCGAAAUACAUGUAGUUGCUUCCUAAUUACAUUUGAUUUACAGAUUGUUACACAGGAUGAAGCUACGUAAAAUAAAGUUCACCAAGACUGUACUUUACUGUACUGUUCGUGUAUCUACAUACCCUAGCCAUCUGUACUUUAGUAUGAAAUAACUCACUAGUUCAAAUGUAAUGGCUUAUUAAGUGCAUUGGUAUUGCAGUAUAUUGGACAGCAAUAAAUAGCAAAAAAUAUUAACUGAAGUAUAAAGUAUAAUUGAUGUAAUUAAAGGGAUAGUUCACCCAAAAAUGAAAAUUAUGUCAUGAAGUACUCGCUUUCUAGUUGUUCCAAACGAAGUUUAGUUCUUUGGUUGAACAAAGAUAAUUAUUUUUUCCUACUAUGGUAGUCAAUGGGGUGCAAGAACUGUUUGGUUAUAAGCAUUCUAACAAAUAUAUUUCACUGUGUUCAUCAGAACAAAGACAUUUAUAAAGAUUUGAAACAACUCGAGGGUGAGUAAAUGAUGACAUAAUUUUUAUUUUUGUGUGAACUAUCCCUUUAAUUCAGAUCAGAAAUUAAUAUGAUGUCAGCAGAUUUUUACAAUUUUAAACCUUUAUUGUUAAGCUUCAAUACAAUGGAACACCAUAAGGCUUUUAAAACGUUAAUCCAAACAUUAUCUGGAUCAUUCUUUUUUAAAUGCGUAUGUAAGUGUGGAACCAAAAACAGAAACAAAGAAAAACCAA